rnacentral:rRNA from 1 species
AUACGUAGGGUGCAAGCGUUAAUCGGAAUUACUGGGCGUAAAGCGUGCGCAGGCGGUUUUGUAAGACAGUGGUGAAAUCCCCGGGCUCAACCUGGGAACUGCCAUUGUGACUGCAAGGCUGGAGUGCGGCAGAGGGGGAUGGAAUUCCGCGUGUAGCAGUGAAAUGCGUAGAUAUGCGGAGGAAAACCGAUGGCGAAGGCAAUCCCCUGGGCCUGCACUGACGCUCAUGCACGAAAGCGUGGGGAGCAAACAGGAUUAGAUACCCUGGUAGUCCACGCCCUAAACGAUGUCAACUGGUUGUUGGGGAUUUAUUUUCUCAGUAACGAAGCUAACGCGUGAAGUUGACCGCCUGGGGAGUACGGCCGCAAGGUUAAAACUCAAAGGAAUUGACGGGG